rnacentral:snoRNA from 1 species
AUUCAUCUACAACAACCAAUCAGGGUUCCUACCCUGACUAUACAGAAAGAGGAGACAGGGCAGCCCUGUCCACAUACACCGCAGCCAGCACCCUGGGCCGAGUCUACAUUGUGAAUGGGGCACAUAG